rnacentral:tRNA from 1 species
GCCUGAGUUGCUCAGUGGUUGAGCGUCUGCCUUCGGCUCAGGGUGUGAUCCUGGAGUCCUGGGAUCGAGUCCCACAUCAGGCU